rnacentral:rRNA from 1 species
UACGUAGGGGGCUAGCGUUGUCCGGAAUCAUUGGGCGUAAAGCGCGUGUAGGCGGUUCGGUAAGUCCGCUGUGAAAGUCGGGGGCUCAACCCUCGGAUGCCGGUGGAUACUGUCGAGCUUGAGUACGGAAGAGGCGAGUGGAAUUCCUGGUGUAGCGGUGAAAUGCGCAGAUAGUCAGGAGGAACACCAAUUGCGAAGGCAGCUCGCUGGGACGUUACUGACGCUGAGACGCGAAAGCAUGGGGAGCAAACAGG